rnacentral:lncRNA from 1 species
GGCGUAGGAGAUAUAAAAUGUAUUUAAAGGAUACCAAACCAAAAGGAGGACUAGCCUUGGAAUAUAAACCAAAGUUGAAUAUGCCGACACAUGUGCCGUUUUUGCUGUUAUAGUUUUAAUUACAUAACUGUUUUAUCUUUACGUAUAGACAUUGAGAAGACCAUAUAUAAUAUAUGUGAACUUGGCGUAUUAGUCUUCUAUAGCAGAAAAUACGAUUCAAAGUACUUUUUUUUUUUUUUUUUUUAGUACUCUUGAUUUUUCAACGAACCCGAUACGAAGUAACGCAGUUCCUGAUUCAAAAGCUUUAUCGAGCCAUUCCUUUGUCG